GCAGGGGUGGCGGAGCUUGGUCAAUCGCGUAAGGCUCAGAACCUUAUGCCUUAGUGGCUGCAAGGGUUCAAAUCCCUUCCCCUGCAC
rnacentral:tRNA from 1 species